UCGAGAAUAAUUCGCAAUGGACGAAAGUCUGACGAUGCGACGCCGCAUGAACGAUGAAGGCCUUCGGGUUGUAACGUUCUGUUGCCCUAGAACAAGAGUGACUGACGAAUGGGUGGUCACGAUGAGGGUAUAGGGAGAGGAAGCACCGGCUAAUUCCGUGCCAGCAGCUGCGGUAAUACGGAAGGUGCAAGCGUGAGUCGGAAUUACUGGGCGUACAGGGUGCGUAGGCGGGAAUGUAAGUCGGUUGUGAAAUUCCGA
rnacentral:rRNA from 1 species